GUUCUAUUUUCAUUACCAUACAUAGGCUCAUGUUGCAUUAUAUUGCUGGAAUCUGAAGCCAUAGAUCAUUUUUUUUUCAUAUAAUAUUUUAGGUAUCGUAAUUUUUUAGAUAUUAAACUCAUUACUUAAACAAGUAUCUGGUAUUGUUAGCAUAGUUUACAUUUGUUCGUAAUGAUAAUAACUUUAUAAGGAUAGGAAACUUUGCAACAUUAAACAAGGAUUUUGAAAUACUACUGAAAAACCAUUCCGACAAAGGGUGAAAGAUGAACUUCUAACUUACCAUUACAAAAAGACUUCUGGACAUCUGACUUUAGAUGUUGAUGAGGCUGAGCUAUAAAGACACAUUCAAUUUCAGUGUUGUAAUGAUCAAUGAACAAUAAUCAUAAUAUCGUUACAACUUGUCCGUAAAACAAAAUAGAAACAGUGAAAAAAAAAUUAAAAGCCUACCGUACACUACUUCGCUGCGUUUACCAAUUUCUAAAUCUGUUUUAAGGAUUAGCUUUUCAGAUGAUUUUGGCUGCUCUUCUAAGAAUUUAAAGUACAUGUAUUACUAUCAAAAAUAUACUUCAAUCUUAUAAAGGAACAUUGCAGAUGCAUGUUAAAUAUUAUUGUACCUUUCUUUGGAAAUUUUGGCAUUUUUUGUGAAUUGCUGUAUGUUGGUUCUAGAGGUUUCUUUGGUUUAGGUUUAUUGGCCUCUGUUUGAUAAGCAUGUAAUUGGUUUAACUAUUUAUGCUUUAAAUACUAUAUUUAUUGAAUGAAUAGUUCUCGUACAUUUUUUUUGUUUAAUGUUCUCGCGUGAAAUAUUUGAUUCUUUUAAUUGCCUUUCUUUACGAAAAAAUAAUUGUUAUAUUUGAUAGAAAAUUGAUGGUUUAUUGAUUGAUAAUUACAAUUUACAUCACAUAUCAUUGUUUUCUCUUUAAUAUACUUCUUUAGCUAUAGUAUUUGCAUUACCUUCAUAAAGCUGAUUAAACAUUGCCAUUUCUGGCCUAAAUUUCACGGAGGGUUGUAAAUAUCCCAUAGCAUCUACAAAAAAAAAAAUACAAUAUGUUUCAUAUGCUUCUUCUGCCGAAAUAAAACAGUAAAAAAAACUAACUCCCAUUUGUUUAACAUUAUUGUUACGUGUGUUAUUGAAAACUAAACCUAAUCAUUGAUUCUAGGUUCUAACAAUUAUUUGAAGGUUCUAAACAAUGAUAAUGUUGAACAUAAACCAUGCAUUGAUAAUAGAAAAUGAUUGUAAUACCAUUCGUAGUAUCUGGGGGCGUGGCCCUUAUGUUGGUCGGUGAUUCCGUGUUUGAAAAGAUUUCUGGGGCUUUGUACAUUGGCGCUUCUAUAUAAAUAAGUGAUUAAUAUAUUUUCAUGUUUCAUGACAACAUUUUUCUGUGUUUAGCAAACUAUUUCUUAAACGCUUACACUUUAUAAUUAUUGAUACAUACUGUUUAUUUUGUAAAAAAAAAAAAAUAGAAGUUAAAAUCUUUAGCAAGAUUUUCUCGGCUGUGCAGAUAUGUAUCCUUUACAAUAGAGUCAUAUCAUUCUAGAUCUAUUAAAGAUGUUUAUAUUCUUC
rnacentral:sRNA from 1 species